ACCUAGCUGGCUCAGUCGGUAGAGCAUGGACUCUUGAUCUCGAGGUUAUGAGUUUGAGCCCCAUGUUCGGUG
rnacentral:tRNA from 1 species